UGCGUUAUUGAACCAGUUAAUUUUGGCACGCUGUACUUGAAAUGCACCGGCAUGGACGCCGGGGCAAGGCGUUAUGUGCCAUGGACGGCACAUAAAAGCCGGUUUAGUCGAGCAUAGAAAAACUAUGAGCAUAAUUCGUACAGCCUCUUAACAGCGUAGCGU
ncrna:unclassified sequences TwoGGAY RNA